GGGCCGCUAGCUCAUCCGGUAGAGCAUCGGCUUUUUAAGCCGAGUGUGCCGUGUUCGAGUCACGGGCGGCUCA
rfam:Omnitrophica WOR_2 bacterium GWB2_45_9 gwb2_scaffold_1444, whole genome shotgun sequence.